rnacentral:rRNA from 1 species
ACGAAGGGUGCAAGCGUUGUUCGGAUUUAUUGGGCGUAAAGCGCGCGCAGGCGGAUGUGCAAGUCAGAUGUGAAAUCUCGGGGCUCAACCCCGAAACUGCGUCUGAAACUGUUCAUCUAGAAUCAUAUAGGGGGUAGGGGAAUUUCACAUGUAGGGGUAAAAUCCGUAGAGAUGUGAAGGAACACCGGAGGCGAAGGCGCCUACCUGGAUAUGUAUUGACGCUGAGGCGCGAAAGCGUGGGGAGCAAACAGG